AAAUUUUUAAUUCCAAAUGUUGUUUCUAUACUAUCUGAUCUGGGAAUAUAAUUGAAAAAUAUAGUCUGGCUCUAAUCCUGAUUGUGUGAUCUGAUGUGCUCUUCUGUGCAUCAAUUGGUUUGAAGCUGGUGAUUCUUCCAUGAGUUUUAAACAUUGAAGAAUGUUCUUCAUUUUUUAUAGUAAGGAAGAGUGCAUGAUCAGAGUGAU